rnacentral:rRNA from 1 species
GAUGAACGCUGGCGGCGUGCCUAAUACAUGCAAGUCGAGCGAACAGACGAGGAGCUUGCUCCUCUGACGUUAGCGGCGGACGGGUGAGUAACACGUGGAUAACCUACCUAUGAGACUGGGAUAACUUCGGGAAACCGGAGCUAAUACCGGAUAAUAUAUUGAACCGCAUGGUUCAAUAGUGAAAGACGGUUUUGCUGUCACUUAUAGAUGGAUCCGCGCCGCAUUAGCUAGUUGGUAAGGUAACGGCUUACCAAGGCGACGAUGCGUAGCCGACCUGAGAGGGUGAUCGGCCACACUGGAACUGAGACACGGUCCAGACUCCUACGGGAGGCAGCAGUAGGGAAUCUUCCGCAAUGGGCGAAAGCCUGACGGAGCAACGCCGCGUGAGUGAUGAAGGUCUUCGGAUCGUAAAGCUCUGUUAUUAGGGAAGAACAAAUGUGUAAGUAACUAUGCACGUCUUGACGGUACCUAAUCAGAAAGCCACGGCUAACUACGUG